rnacentral:lncRNA from 1 species
CCACUGUCCCCGGGCUCCAGGUUCUGGCUUUCCCAAUGCUGUGGGCAGCAGGAGGCCUCUGCCAACCUACUAGGGAGGGCACUGGACAAGGCGGGAAGGGACCGCAAAGUCAGUGACCAAUGCUACCUCGGCUCAUGCAUGCAUGAGUGUGUCCUCCUGGCACUAGGCUCGGGGCUGCAGGUCCCUGUGUGGCCCAACACCUCAAGAGGAGCACUUGUUUUCUAGAUUCAGCUUUUGUGAAGCAGAGGGAAGUCAGGAAAUAGUUCAAGGAAAGAGAAUCAUCUAAUGAAUCCCACUUUCGUCCUCCUGGAGACCUUGUGGAGACCUGGAUUCAAACCUCCCCUCACCCUACAUCCCUGAGCGCAGCCCUGAAGAAGCAGUGUGCCUGAACCCCCAGUCCCAGCCCAUGUCACAGGCCACUUCUCCGCCACCCUUCUAGAAAGACGGACCAGCUUCCCCUACUGCUUCUGCCAUCUGCCAGAACCCUCCCUGCCCUCAAACCGGCCCCACCCGUGGCCUUGGGGGCUGCAGAAAUGUGAUGUGCUGAAAAGAAAUCAGCUUACGGAUGAACAAGACUAUCUAAUAAAAUGCGAAAUAUCUAGUGUGUCAGGCAGCUUCCUACAGGCACGGGUAACACUGCGGUCUUCAUCAGCAUCACCCAGACAGGGUGUGACAAGCCAAGGGCCCUGGGCAGCAGCCUGAUGUACCCCAGAGGAGUUGAGUGGACAGCCAAGGCCCUCGCUCAGGGAGGUGGCACUGGCGCCCACACAGCUGAACCCAGGACAGAGGUGGUGCCCAAGCCCAGCCAGCAGCUUCCCGCUGAGGGUCAGUUUAGAGGCUGAGAAGUUCACUGUCCGGGUGCUGGCAUCUCAAGACGCCUGUGGCUGCAUCAGAAUACCGUGCAGGGCACCACACUCAGACACAGCAAGGUGCCCACUUCUUUCUUCCUCUUCUUGGCCACUCAGCACACCUCGAGGCCCCACCUGCAUGACUACAUCUAACCCUGAUGACCUCCUAAAGGCCGUGUUCCAAAUGCACAUGGAUUCAAGGAUUAAGUUUCAAGCCCAUGAACUUUGGGGGACACAUUCAAACCAUAGCAAGGGCCACCUCUUUCAUUUUGUCUCUCGUGAGACAAAUGAAUGCUCGAACUCUGAGCCCACCUCUUCCCCUGGGAACCUAGGUAAAAGGCCUCAGGAGGCUGGAACCGGGGCCUUGGACCUUAUGUGUGCCUUGGGUGACAUCAUGGUGGGUUCCUUAAAGGUAGGCUCCUUGGUGACAAACAGGCUGUGAUGUUCAGUCUACAACUGGGUUGAGGCCAUGAAGAGGAGAGCCUGAAAUCCACCUGCUGCCAGGGCAGUGGCACAGUAUCAGGAAGACAGGAAGGGGACCGGGCAUGUAAGUCCCAAAGCAUCGAUGGCUCUGGUCAUCUGUGCAAAGAGCAAGCCCUUGCUCUGCUCCGGCAGGACAGUGCAUCUCUGCCCUCAUGUACCACGUUGAUUUCUCGCCCCAUGGCCUGACAGUGCAGAGAACAGAAACGGACUUGACCAUGGACUGUGUGAGCACAAUUUCUGACAUGAGUUCCUUCCUUAGGUCAGCAGACACUGGGAGGCACCCCCGGAGUUCAGCAGAGCCCGGGUGCUGGAAAGUUUAAGAUAACUUUCCAUGGUGAGGAGCUGAUCUGUUGAUAGGAGGCAGCCGUAUAAAGCAGCCUAAAGCCCCUCCGGAGCAGGUAGGAAGGAGGCUCAGGCAGCUGUGGCUGUGGAGAAUGUCCAGGCCAGGAUCCUCAGAUUUGGAAGUUCAUAGCAGGGUCCCCAUGAGAUCAAUCCAUAGAACAAACACAGCAGGUGCCUGAGGACCCUUUCCUGGCUCCGGGCCGAAUGAUUCAGUGGUGCUCGCUGUGCAUGACUGGCUCCCACAGGUUUCCUCAGGGUCAAGCUAGAGGUUCCAGGACAACUAGAGUCACACGGAGCUGCCCGUGAUGGUGGCUCAGGUCCAGGGCUGCUGUGGGCUGUCCUCAGCUGACCAGGAUCCAUCCCCACUGGCAAUGCUGAGGGUCCCCCAUUAGGAAAGAAGCAUGUGGUGGUGAGGAGGUGUUGACCUGUGGUUAACAGGCUUACAGGUUAAUCCAGCAUGUGACCAGGUCACUGCCCACUCACCAAAAAUACAUGCUCCAAAGUUCUAAACCUAUAUAGAUCAUCACAGUCUUCAAAGGAGUUUCACAUUGUAAAACCUAUUUUGGGGAGACUUGGCUAGGGCCACAGGUCAUUCGGUGAGCAGUUUGUGUUGAGUCAGCUCUUCAAUAUGACUCCAGACUUUCCUCACCAUCUCCCUGUCUGUGUCCAGUUCAGACCUGGCAUUGGGCCUGGCAAAACCUCUUUCUGGUUUUUAUCUGCUUUCCCAGGUCUGUUCCUGUGCUGAUCUCCAGCACCAGACCUUCCCCAGGACUCAGACUCCCUUCUUCCAUCUCUCCUGGGCCAGCCUCAGGACCUAUGCACAUGCUGAUUGUCUUCCUCAAAUAUCUGUCCCCAGCUUCCCUCCUUUACUCUCAAACUUGUGCCCUCUCAAUUUUUCCUGUGUCCCCCCAAGGAUAUCUUCCACCUUUGUCCCAUGGUAUGUGGGCUCAGCUGACAGCACAUGAUCAGACUAUGUCGUGGUGACUUUUUACAUCCCUCUGCCAUCAGAUAUGCAUUGUUGAUUCACCUAUCAUUGGACUUGGGGCCCAUCAUCCCCAAAUUAACCCUGGGUAAUCUCAUCUUGAGAUCUUAUCUAUACCUGCAAAGAGCUUCUUUCCAAACAAGAUUCCAUCACAGAUCCUUGAGAUCAGGAUGUGGAUCUUGGGGGGAGGGGAUUCUGUCCAGUAUAACAUAACAUGCAGUGAGAUUGUAAUCCCAGACUUAAUGAGACACAUGCAGAGAAUAAGUCUGUUAACGCCUGGGUGUGGGUCGGUCCAGGCAGGACCAGGAGUGACCGAAUGCCCUGAACGACAAGGACUCAGGCAGCCCUGAGGGAACAUUGGAUCCAAACACUGGGAGAUCUGUAUUCUGGCCCCAUUCCAUCACCCCAGCCAAUCUCUGGGAUAAGAGCUUCCCAUCCUUGAACUGCUUCUGUUCUGCAGCAAAAUGAGAGGUGGAGACACAGCUCAGGACCCUCUGUCUCUGGGUCUCCAUCCUAAGUCCCUGCAGUCUAUUGGUGACACUCAUGGGGGAGCUGGCAGGUGCAUGCACCACUGGAAGGAGCUGAGACCCGAGUUGAGAGUGAUGUCAGUCCUGAGCUGGGCCAGUCAGGCCAUUGAUCAGCUUGGGGUCUACGAAAGAGGCUUGGGACACCUCACUUCAGGUAAGGUCCCCCCAAAGCCUAUGUGAGUCAAAAAUGUGAAUGUACAUAGUUUAUUUGAGAGACAAUCCCAGGAGGUGCUGGUAGGGGACACAGGGCAGGGGACAGAAGGGACUCAGCGAAGAGUGCAAUAUCAAGCAAGUUGCCAUCAUGGGCAGCAGGGGUGGUGGAUGGGCUGGGGUCUUGGUCUUCCAGAGCACUGCUGGAGGCUGCUGUGGGGUUGUUAAGUCCAGGACACUUAUGACCUGCUUGAGCAGAUCUUUGAGCACCUGCAACCAGAAGAACCCUUCCCUCUGGGGCACCCACAGCAGGAGUUGUCUGACAGAAAGGCCUGUGGUCCUCAUCCCCUCCAAAGCAAAGGAAAUAAUCCAAAGUCAGAUACUGAGGGAUGAGCCCACACUGCAGGCAGUAAGGAGAAAAUCCAGCCUCAGGUGCCGCUUUGAGCAGGCAGCCAGAUACCUGGACACUCCAGUGGGCGCUGUUUAACUCACCAGCAUGGGCUCUGGCAUCUGGGCAAAGCUCAGAUGAUGCCCUGGUGACAGCGGGGUGAGCACAGCCCGGCCAGGAGCCUUUGGGGGCUGCACCCAUCUUAGGGAAUGGGCCCACGUGCUAAAGUCAGAGCUUCAGGACUCAAACCCGCUCCACAUCCUCCUUCUUCCUGAAGCCCCCAAGGCCCAGCCUCCUCCCACGCCAAGGACCGGGCUGGCAGGGGACUAGACCCUGGCAGACAGCGUGACAAGCAGGAGAAGGAAGGUGCCUCUCUUACAUAAACUGGGGCAAAGCCAAAGAAAGAACAGGCAAAUGCUUCUCAAUGAAGUGAGCAUUACUUUGAUAUCAAAAGGUGCCUAAGGGCCAGGGAUUUAGCUCAGUGGUGCCACCUCCUGCCUCGAAAGCACAAGGUCCCAAGUUCAAUCCCCAGUACCCCCCAAAAAAAGUUCUCAAGAUUUUUCCAAGAAAGAACAAAAGAAACUGUCUUAGACGUGAAGAUUAAUGAAAACCUCUAAAUAAAAUACUGAGCAGGAUCUAAGAGUACCUUAAAGGAAUCAUAUGACAGUGACUAAGUGGAUUUGUUCCUGGAAUGAAAGGAUGGCUCAAUACUAGGAAUCCACUCACAGAUUCAUCAUAUUCACAGGUCUAAGAAGAAAAGUCCUAAGUCAUAGUCAAGUCCAUAGUCCCAGGAAUCAUAGUCUCCUGGGUACCUGAAUUCAACAACUUUCAUGAUUAAAGAAAAACAAACCAUGAAAGAAUCCCUUUAUCCCCAAGGAGUAGAGAAAGCCUUUCUAGUUAUCACUCAAAUGCCAAAAGUUAAAAAAGAAAAAAAUGAUAAAUUCAAUUACAAAAAAAUCUAUAUGCUGAAAAAAAGAAAAGAACAAUGACAACAACCUGGUAUCAAAGUCCAAAAUAAAUUAGACCAAAAACAACUGUGCAACUUCUAUCACAAAGAGCCAGCCUCCCCAAUCUAUAAAGGGCUUGUAGAAAUUGGGAAGGCGAGGACAAAUCGUAAUUGAAAAAUAGGUAAAGAAUGUGAAGAAAUAGUCUCAAGAAGGGACAUACAAAUACAUCUUAAAUUUAUUGAGCAAUGCUCAGUUUCACUCGGAAGAAAAAAACACAUGAAAUAAACACAGAGAUGCCAUUUUACCCAUGAUACUGGGGAGCCCCCACAGGUGUGACAGGGAAAAGGGGACAGUAUUAAGUGGUGUGUCCCUGGGGAAGGUGAGGGCUGCUCCUCAAGGCCACCACCCACCUACCCUUCCCCAGAGCAAGCACCCUUCUAGAAUCUUGUGUCACGGAUGUGCCAGCCCACAUUGGAAACAGUGUGUGUGCAAUGUUCUUCCCUCAAGCUUUCUGUAACGUCAGAACUGCAACACAACUCAAGUGGCAAGGGCCGGAGACCCGUUAAACAGUGACACUAAAUCUGUGCAGAGUGCCACACAACCCUGAAAGGCGGCCAAGGUAAUGGUGGUGAGGAAGAAACAUUCAACGCAAAGCUCCCUUUCUUGUAAAAAGGAGUAAAAUAGGGAUGCACAUGUACCCUUGCUUAUAUUUUCAGAAAGAAAAUCCACGGGAUGCACAAGAGACUAAAAAUGAUUCUCUGUGGGCCAGUGUGGGUAGCUUGGAAAGGGUGGGCUGAGAGAGAGCCUUUUUAUGGUUCAUGUUUGCUGUUUUUGAACUCUACGAAUUUACUAUCUAUUCAACAGUUUUAAAAGUUUACACAUAUGUUUGAGCAUUCAUUACAAUUUUUCCAGAAGAAUAUACACUUUUGGUGGCAGCUGCCUCUGGGCAGUGAGAGAAAAGGACUCUUGGUUAUCACAUUACACAUUUCUAGAUCCUUUGGGCUGUUGCCAUGUGUGUGUACACUUCUUUUUUUUUUUUUUUUGGUACCGGGGAUCGAACUCCAGUCCUUGCGCUUGCAGGGUAGGCGGUGAAACCACUGAGCUAAAUCCCUGGCUCCAAUGUGUGUACACUUCUUAAUAAAAUAUGGUUCAUUUUUAUGGCUUACAUGUUCUUAUUUCUGAAUACACAGCAAAAGGUGUUGGUGCGGCUUCCUCUAGGGAAGCGGGUGAUUGGGACCAUAUGUGAGCC